rnacentral:rRNA from 1 species
CACGUAGGCACCAAGCGUUGUCCGGAUUUAUUGGGCGUAAAGAGCUCGUAGGCGGUUCAGUAAGUCAGGUGUGAAAUCUUUGGGCUUAACCCAAAGCGUGCACUUGAUACUGCUGUGACUUGAGUUCGGUAGGGGAGCGGGGAAUUCCUAGUGUAGCGGUGAAAUGCGCAGAUAUUAGGAGGAACACCGGUGGCGAAGGCGCCGCUCUGGGCCGAAACUGACGCUGAGGAGCCGAAAGCGUGGGUAGCAAACAGG